GGUUAAGUUAGAAAGGGCGCACGGUGGAUGCCUUGACACUAGGAGUCGAUGAAGGACGGGACUAACGCCGAUAUGCUUCGGGGAGCUGUAAGUAAGCUUUGAUCCGAAGAUUUCCGAAUGGGGAAACCCACCAUACGUAAUGGUAUGGUAUCCUUAUCUGAAUACAUAGGGUAAGGAAGACAGACCCAGGGAACUGAAACAUCUAAGUACCUGGAGGAAGAGAAAGCAAAUGCGAUUUCCUGAGUAGCGGCGAGCGAAACGGAACAUAGCCCAAACCAAGAGGCUUGCCUCUUGGGGUUGUAGGACAUUCUAUACGGAGUUACAAAGGAACGAGGUAGACGAAGCGACCUGGAAAGGUCCGUCGUAGAGGGUAACAACCCCGUAGUCGAAACUUCGUUCUCUCUUGAAUGUAUCCUGAGUACGGCGGAACACGUGAAAUUCCGUCGGAAUCUGGGAGGACCAUCUCCCAAGGCUAAAUACUCCCUAGUGAUCGAUAGUGAACCAGUACCGUGAGGGAAAGGUGAAAAGCACCCCGGAAGGGGAGUGAAAGAGAUCCUGAAACCGUGUGCCUACAAAUAGUCAGAGCCCGUUAACGGGUGAUGGCGUGCCUUUUGUAGAAUGAACCGGCGAGUUACGAUCCCGUGCGAGGUUAAGCUGAAGAGGCGGAGCCGCAGCGAAAGCGAGUCUGAAUAGGGCGUUUAGUACGUGGUCGUAGACCCGAAACCAGGUGAUCUACCCAUGUCCAGGGUGAAGUUCAGGUAACACUGAAUGGAGGCCCGAACCCACGCACGUUGAAAAGUGCGGGGAUGAGGUGUGGGUAGCGGAGAAAUUCCAAUCGAACCUGGAGAUAGCUGGUUCUCCCCGAAAUAGCUUUAGGGCUAGCCUUAAGUGUAAGAGUCUUGGAGGUAGAGCACUGAUUGGACUAGGGGUCCUCAUCGGAUUACCGAAUUCAGUCAAACUCCGAAUGCCAAUGACUUAUCCUUAGGAGUCAGACUGCGAGUGAUAAGAUCCGUAGUCAAAAGGGAAACAGCCCAGACCGCCAGCUAAGGUCCCAAAGUGUGUAUUAAGUGGAAAAGGAUGUGGAGUUGCUUAGACAACUAGGAUGUUGGCUUAGAAGCAGCCACCAUUUAAAGAGUGCGUAAUAGCUCACUAGUCGAGUGACUCUGCGCCGAAAAUGUACCGGGGCUAAAUACACCACCGAAGCUGCGGAUUGAUACCAAUGGUAUCAGUGGUAGGGGAGCGUUCUAAGGACAGUGAAGUCAGACCGUAAGGACUGGUGGAGUGCUUAGAAGUGAGAAUGCCGGUAUGAGUAGCGAAAGACGGGUGAGAAUCCCGUCCACCGAAUGCCUAAGGUUUCCUGAGGAAGGCUCGUCCGCUCAGGGUUAGUCAGGACCUAAGCCGAGGCCGACAGGCGUAGGCGAUGGACAACAGGUUGAUAUUCCUGUACCACCUCUUUAUCGUUUGAGCAAUGGAGGGACGCAGAAGGAUAGAAGAAGCGUGCGAUUGGUUGUGCACGUCCAAGCAGUUAGGCUGAUAAGUAGGCAAAUCCGCUUAUCGUAAAGGCUGAGCUGUGAUGGGGAAGCUCCUUAUGGAGCGAAGUCUUUGAUUCCCCGCUGCCAAGAAAAGCUUCUAGCGAGAUAAAAGGUGCCUGUACCGCAAACCGACACAGGUAGGCGAGGAGAGAAUCCUAAGGUGUGCGAGAGAACUCUGGUUAAGGAACUCGGCAAAAUGACCCCGUAACUUCGGGAGAAGGGGUGCUUUCUUAACGGAAAGCCGCAGUGAAUAGGCCCAAGCGACUGUUUAGCAAAAACACAGCUCUCUGCGAAGCCGUAAGGCGAAGUAUAGGGGGUGACACCUGCCCGGUGCUGGAAGGUUAAGGAGAGGGGUUAGCGUAAGCGAAGCUCUGAACUGAAGCCCCAGUAAACGGCGGCCGUAACUAUAACGGUCCUAAGGUAGCGAAAUUCCUUGUCGGGUAAGUUCCGACCCGCACGAAAGGUGUAACGAUUUGGGCACUGUCUCAACCAGAGACUCGGUGAAAUUAUAGUACCUGUGAAGAUGCAGGUUACCCGCGACAGGACGGAAAGACCCCGUGGAGCUUUACUGUAGCCUGAUAUUGAAUUUUGGUACAGUUUGUACAGGAUAGGCGGGAGCCAUUGAAACCGGAGCGCUAGCUUCGGUGGAGGCGCUGGUGGGAUACCGCCCUGACUGUAUUGAAAUUCUAACCUACGGGUCUUAUCGACCCGGGAGACAGUGUCAGGUGGGCAGUUUGACUGGGGCGGUCGCCUCCUAAAGUGUAACGGAGGCGCCCAAAGGUUCCCUCAGAAUGGUUGGAAAUCAUUCGUAGAGUGCAAAGGCAUAAGGGAGCUUGACUGCGAGACCUACAAGUCGAGCAGGGACGAAAGUCGGGCUUAGUGAUCCGGUGGUUCCGUAUGGAAGGGCCAUCGCUCAACGGAUAAAAGCUACCCCGGGGAUAACAGGCUUAUCUCCCCCAAGAGUCCACAUCGACGGGGAGGUUUGGCACCUCGAUGUCGGCUCAUCGCAUCCUGGGGCUGUAGUCGGUCCCAAGGGUUGGGCUGUUCGCCCAUUAAAGCGGUACGCGAGCUGGGUUCAGAACGUCGUGAGACAGUUCGGUCCCUAUCCGUCGUGGGCGUAGGAAAUUUGAGAGGAGCUGUCCUUAGUACGAGAGGACCGGGAUGGACGCACCGCUGGUGUACCAGUUGUUCUGCCAAGGGCAUAGCUGGGUAGCUAUGUGCGGAAGGGAUAAGUGCUGAAAGCAUCUAAG
rnacentral:rRNA from 1 species